AGAGUUUGAUCCUGGCUCAGGACGAACGCUGGCGGCAUGCCUAAUACAUGCAAGUCGAACGCUGAAGCACUCUGCUUGCAGAGUGCGGAUGAGUGGCGAACGGGUGAGUAACACGUGGGAAAUCUGCCUAUAAGUGGGGGAUAACAUUCGGAAACGGAUGCUAAUACCGCAUACAUUCUUGAACCGCAUGGUUCUUGAAAGAAAGACGGCUUUGCUGUCGCUUAUAGAUGAUCCCGCGGCGUAUUAGUUAGUUGGUGGGGUAAAGGCCUACCAAGACAAUGAUACGUAGCCGACCUGAGAGGGUGAUCGGCCACACUGGGACUGAGACACGGCCCACACUCCUACGGGAGGCAGCAGUAGGGAAUCUUCCACAAUGGGCGAAAGCCUGAUGGAGCAAUGCCGCGUGAAUGAAGAAGGUCUUCGGAUCGUAAAGUUCUGUUAUUAGAGAAGAACAAGUCAAGGAGUAACUGUCUUGACUUUGACGGUACCUAACCAGAAAGUCACGGCUAACUACGUGCCAGCAGCCGCGGUAAUACGUAGGUGACGAGCGUUGUCCGGAAUUAUUGGGCGUAAAGGGAGCGCAGGCGGUUGGAAUAGUCUGAUGUGAAAGCCCACGGCUUACCCGUGGAAGGUCAUUGGAAACUGUCCAACUUGAAUGCAAAGGAGGAAAGUGAAAUUCCAUGUGUAGCGGUGAAAUGCAUAAAAUUAAGGAAAAACACCAGUGGCGAAGGCCACUUUUCUGGUCUGUAAUUGACGCUGAAGGCUCCAAAAGCGUGGGGAAACGAAACAGGAAUAAGAUAACCCGGGU
rnacentral:rRNA from 1 species